GGAAGUAAAAGUCGUAACAAGGUCUCCGUUGGUGAACCAGCGGAGGGAUCAUUACCGAGUUUACAACUCCCAAACCCCAAUGUGAACGUUACCAAUCUGUUGCCUCGGCGGGAUUCUCUGCCCCGGGCGCGUCGCAGCCCCGGAUCCCAUGGCGCCCGCCGGAGGACCAACUCAAACUCUUUUUUCUCUCCGUCGCGGCUUCCGUCGCGGCUCUGUUUUACCUUUGCUCUGAGCCUUUCUCGGCGACCCUAGCGGGCGUCUCGAAAAUGAAUCAAAACUUUCAACAACGGAUCUCUUGGUUCUGGCAUCGAUGAAGAACGCAGCGAAAUGCGAUAAGUAAUGUGAAUUGCAGAAUUCAGUGAAUCAUCGAAUCUUUGAACGCACAUUGCGCCCGCCAGUAUUCUGGCGGGCAUGCCUGUCCGAGCGUCAUUUCAACCCUCGAACCCCUCCGGGGGGUCGGCGUUGGGGAUCGGCCCCUCACCGGGCCGCCCCCGAAAUACAGUGGCGGUCUCGCCGCAGCCUCUCCUGCGCAGUAGUUUGCACACUCGCACCGGGAGCGCGGCGCGGCCACAGCCGUAAAACACCCCAAACUCUGAAAUGUUGACCUCGGAUCAGGUAGGAAUACCCGCUGAACUUAAGCAUAUCAAUAAGCGGAGGA
rnacentral:rRNA from 1 species